GACGAACGCUGGCGGCGUGCUUAACACAUGCAAGUCGAACGGAAAGGCUUCUUUCGGGGGGUACUCGAGUGGCGAACGGGUGAGUAACACGUGAGUAACCUGCCCUUGACUUUGGGAUAACUUCAGGAAACUGGGGCUAAUACCGGAUAGGAGCUCCUGCUGCAUGGUGGGGGUUGGAAAGUUUCGGCGGUUGGGGAUGGACUCGCGGCUUAUCAGCUUGUUGGUGGGGUAGUGGCUUACCAAGGCUUUGACGGGUAGCCGGCCUGAGAGGGUGACCGGCCAAAAUGGGACUGGGAUACGGCCCAGAAUCCUACGGGAGGCAGCAGUGGGGAAUAUUGCAAAAUGGGGGGAAGCCUGAUGCAGCAACGCCGUGGGCGGGAUGAAGGGCUUCGGGUUGGAAACCGCUUUCGCUCAUGACGAAGCUUUGUGUGACGGUAGUGGGUAAAGAAGCACCGGCUAACUACGUG
rnacentral:rRNA from 1 species